UACGGAGGGUGCAAGCGUUAAUCGGAAUUACUGGGCGUAAAGGGUGCGUAGGUGGUUGAUUAAGUUAGGUGUGAAAUUCCUGGGCUUAACCUGGGCUGGAAACUUAAACUGGUCGACUUGAGUAUGGGAGAGGGUAGUGGAAUUUCCGGUGUAGCGGUGAAAUGCGUAGAGAUCGGAAGGAACACCAGUGGCGAAGGCGGCUACCUGGCCUAAUACUGACACUGAAGCACGAAAGCGUGGGGAGCAAACAGGAUUAGAUACCCG
rnacentral:rRNA from 1 species